rnacentral:lncRNA from 1 species
AAAAAUCAGAAUGUGAAUAUAUAUGUUCAAACUCUUUUAGGUCAUUUUUUAGUAGCAAUAAACAAAAAAACUAUGUUAAUUGGACAUGCUUUGAUACUAUAUAUGCCCUUGAAUUUUACUAGAUAACAUUUUUGUUCGCUUUGGGGAUUCCGUAUAUCGUCAGAUUAUCGGAAUUCCAAUGGGGACUAACUGUGCACCACUUAUUGCAGACCUGUUUUUGUAUUGUUAUGAGUUACAAUUUAUGACAAAAAUAAGCAAAGACCCAUCGAAACAACAUCUGAUAAACAAAUUUAAUAAUACUUUUAGAUAUUUGGAUGAUAUUUUGGCUCUCAAUAAUGACGACU